AAUGAACCGGCGAGUUACGAUUUGAUGCAAGGUUAAGCAGUAAAUGUGGAGCCGUAGCGAAAGCGAGUCUGAAUAGGGCGUUUAGUAUUUGGUCGUAGACCCGAAACCAGGUGAUCUACCCUUGGUCAGGUUGAAGUUCAGGUAACACUGAAUGGAGGACCGAACCGACUUACGUUGAAAAGUGAGCGGAUGAACUGAGGGUAGCGGAGAAAUUCCAAUCGAACCUGGAGAUAGCUGGUUCUCUCCGAAAUAGCUUUAGGGCUAGCCUCAAGUGAUGAUUAUUGGAGGUAGAGCACUGUUUGGACGAGGGGCCCCUCUCGGGUUACCGAAUUCAGACAAACUCCGAAUGCCAAUUAAUUUAACUUGGGAGUCAGAACAUGGGUGAUAAGGUCCGUGUUCGAAAGGGAAACAGCCCAGACCACCAGCUAAGGUCCCAAAAUAUAUGUUAAGUGGAAAAGGAUGUGGCGUUGCCCAGACAACUAGGAUGUUGGCUUAGAAGCAGCCAUCAUUUAAAGAGUGCGUAAUAGCUCACUAGUCGAGUGACACUGCGCCGAAAAUGUACCGGGGCUAAACAUAUUACCGAAGCUGUGGAUUGUCCUUUGGACAAUGGUAGGAGAGCGUUCUAAGGGCGUUGAAGCAUGAUCGUAAGGACAUGUGGAGCGCUUAGAAGUGAGAAUGCCGGUGUGAGUAGCGAAAGACGGGUGAGAAUCCCGUCCACCGAUUGACUAAGGUUUCCAGAGGAAGGCUCGUCCGCUCUGGGUUAGUCGGGUCCUAAGCUGAGGCCGACAGGCGUAGGCGAUGGAUAACAGGUUGAUAUUCCUGUACCACCUAUAAUCGUUUUAAUCGAUGGGGGGACGCAGUAGGAUAGGCGAAGCGUGCGAUUGGAUUGCACGUCUAAGCAGUAAGGCUGAGUAUUAGGCAAAUCCGGUACUCGUUAAGGCUGAGCUGUGAUGGGGAGAAGACAUUGUGUCUUCGAGUCGUUGAUUUCACACUGCCGAGAAAAGCCUCUAGAUAGAAAAUAGGUGCCCGUACCGCAAACCGACACAGGUAGUCAAGAUGAGAAUUCUAAGGUGAGCGAGCGAACUCUCGUUAAGGAACUCGGCAAAAUGACCCCGUAACUUCGGGAGAAGGGGUGCUCUUUAGGGUUAACGCCCAGAAGAGCCGCAGUGAAUAGGCCCAAGCGACUGUUUAUCAAAAACACAGGUCUCUGCUAAACCGUAAGGUGAUGUAUAGGGGCUGACGCCUGCCCGGUGCUGGAAGGUUAAGAGGAGUGGUUAGCUUCUGCGAAGCUACGAAUCGAAGCCCCAGUAAACGGCGGCCGUAACUAUAACGGUCCUAAGGUAGCGAAAUUCCUUGUCGGGUAAGUUCCGACCCGCACGAAAGGCGUAACGAUUUGGGCACUGUCUCAACGAGAGACUCGGUGAAAUCAUAGUACCUGUGAAGAUGCAGGUUACCCGCGACAGGACGGAAAGACCCCGUGGAGCUUUACUGUAGCCUGAUAUUGAAAUUCGGCACAGCUUGUACAGGAUAGGUAGGAGCCUUUGAAACGUGAGCGCUAGCUUACGUGGAGGCGCUGGUGGGAUACUACCCUAGCUGUGUUGGCUUUCUAACCCGCACCACUUAUCGUGGUGGGAGACAGUGUCAGGCGGGCAGUUUGACUGGGGCGGUCGCCUCCUAAAAGGUAACGGAGGCGCUCAAAGGUUCCCUCAGAAUGGUUGGAAAUCAUUCAUAGAGUGUAAAGGCAUAAGGGAGCUUGACUGCGAGACCUACAAGUCGAGCAGGGUCGAAAGACGGACUUAGUGAUCCGGUGGUUCCGCAUGGAAGGGCCAUCGCUCAACGGAUAAAAGCUACCCCGGGGAUAACAGGCUUAUCUCCCCCAAGAGUUCACAUCGACGGGGAGGUUUGGCACCUCGAUGUCGGCUCAUCGCAUCCUGGGGCUGUAGUCGGUCCCAAGGGUUGGGCUGUUCGCCCAUUAAAGCGGUACGCGAGCUGGGUUCAGAACGUCGUGAGACAGUUCGGUCCCUAUCCGUCGUGGGCGUAGGAAAUUUGAGAGGAGCUGUCCUUAGUACGAGAGGACCGGGAUGGACAUACCUCUGGUGUACCAGUUGUCGUGCCAACGGCAUAGCUGGGUAGCUAUGUGUGGACGGGAUAAGUGCUGAAAGCAUCUAAGCAUGAAGCCCCCCUCAAGAUGAGAUUUCCCAACUUCGGUUAUAAGAUCCCUCAAAGAUGAUGAGGUUAAUAGGUUCGAGGUGGAAGCAUGGUGACAUGUGGAGCUGACGAAUACUAAUCGAUCGAAGACUUAAUCAA
rnacentral:rRNA from 1 species